rnacentral:piRNA from 1 species
GAAAUUCCAUAGAGAAUGU